rnacentral:tRNA from 1 species
UACUAUAUAGUUUAAUAAAUUAAAACUUUAAUUUUGUAAAUUAAAAAUAAAAUAAAUCUUUUUAUAGUAA